UUGGAGAAAGUUUGAUCCUGGCUCAGAUUGAACGCUAGCGGGAUGCUUUACACAUGCAAGUCGAACGGCAGCGCGAGAGAGCUUGCUCUCUUGGCGGCGAGUGGCGGACGGGUGAGUAAUAUAUCGGAACGUGCCCAGUAGCGGGGGAUAACUACUCGAAAGAGUGGCUAAUACCGCAUACGCCCUACGGGGGAAAGGGGGGGAUCGCAAGACCUCUCACUAUUGGAGCGGCCGAUAUCGGAUUAGCUAGUUGGUGGGGUAAAGGCUCACCAAGGCAACGAUCCGUAGCUGGUUUGAGAGGACGACCAGCCACACUGGGACUGAGACACGGCCCAGACUCCUACGGGAGGCAGCAGUGGGGAAUUUUGGACAAUGGGGGAAACCCUGAUCCAGCCAUCCCGCGUGUAUGAUGAAGGCCUUCGGGUUGUAAAGUACUUUUGGCAGAGAAGAAAAGGUAUCCCCUAAUACGGGAUACUGCUGACG
rnacentral:rRNA from 1 species